rnacentral:rRNA from 1 species
AGAGAGAGACAUGCGCGCAUAUCAAUAAGCGGAGGAAAAGAAACUAACAAGGAUUCCCUUAGUAACGGCGAGUGAAGCGGGAAGAGCUCAAAUUUGAAAUCUUCAAGGUUCUACCUUGACGAAUUGUAGUUUAUAGAAGUGUUUUCUGUUAGUGGAGUGGCAAAAGUUCUUUGGAAUAGGACAUCAUAGAGGGUGAGAAUCCCGUAUUUGGUCAUUCCUCCUAGCGUUGUGAUACACUUUCAACGAGUCGGAUUGUUUGGGAAUGCAGUCCAAAAUGGGUGGUAAAUUUCAUCUAAAGCUAAAUAUUGGCGAGAGACCGAUAGCGAACAAGUACCGUGAGGGAAAGAUGAAAAGAACUUUGAAAAGAGAGUUAAACAGUACGUGAAAUUGUCAAAAGGGAAGCGUUUGACACCAGUGUUGUUUUUCCGAAAAUCAAUUACGAAUGUUUUAUUUUUGAGGAGUUAUGACUUCAUCGGCUUGCUCCUUUCUUUAUGAAACUUUCUUAAUGCACUUUUCGGUUAACAAGUCAACAUCAAUUUCUUUUGUUGUAAAGAGGGUAUGAGGAAGGUGGCUUUCUUUUCGGAGAAAGUGUUUAUAGCCUUGUACCUCUGCAAUCGGAGAGAUUGAGGUCUGCAGCGUAGAUCCUUCGGGGUUAGAUACAUUUGUGCUAAGUUAUAGCUUUUCAUAGACAACUUGUUGACUAUGUUUAGUCUUGUAGCUUACUCGCUUAUGCUAUUUUACCUACGCUUAGGAUGUUGAUAGUCACAGCGUGUAC